rnacentral:sRNA from 1 species
GCUGGAUAUGGUGGUGGAUGCCUAUAAUCCAAGUUACUAGGGAGGCUGAGGCAGGAGGAUCACAGGUUGAGAGCCAGCCUCAA